AUUGAACGCUGGCGGCAUGCUUUACACAUGCAAGUCGAACGGCAGCGCGGGCUUCGGCCUGGCGGCGAGUGGCGAACGGGUGAGUAAUGCAUCGGAACGUGCCCAGUAGUGGGGGAUAGCCCGGCGAAAGCCGGAUUAAUACCGCAUACGACCUGAGGGUGAAAGCGGGGGACCGAAAGGCCUCGCGCUAUUGGAGCGGCCGACGUCGGAUUAGCUAGUUGGUGGGGUAAAGACUUACCAAGGCGACGAUCCGUAGCUGGUCUGAGAGGACGACCAGCCACACUGGGACUGGGACACGGCCCAGACUCCUACGGGAGGCAGCAGUGGGGAAUUUUGGACAAUGGGGGCAACCCCGAUCCAGCCAUGCCGCGUGCGGUAAGAAGGCCUUCGGGUUGUAAACCGCUUUUGUUCGGGAAGAAAUCCUCUGGGCUAAUACCCCGGGGGGAUGACGGUACCGGAAGAAUAAGCACCGGCUAACUACGUG
rnacentral:rRNA from 1 species